rnacentral:rRNA from 1 species
GACGAACGCUGGCGGCGUGCUUAACACAUGCAAGUCGAACGGAAAGGCCCUGCUUUUGUGGGGUGCUCGAGUGGCGAACGGGUGAGUAACACGUGAGUAACCUGCCCUUGACUUUGGGAUAACUUCAGGAAACUGGGGCUAAUACCGGAUAGGAGCUCCUGCUGCAUGGUGGGGGUUGGAAAGUUUCGGCGGUUGGGGAUGGACUCGCGGCUUAUCCGCUUGUUGGUGGGGUAGUGGCUUACCAAGGCUUUGACGGGUAGCCGGCCUGAGAGGGUGACCGGCCACAUUGGGACUGAGAUACGGCCCAGUCUCCUACGGGAGGCAGCAGUGGGGAAUAUUGCACAAUGGGCGGAAGCCUGAUGCAGCAACGCCGCGUGCGGGAUGACGGCCUUCGGGUUGUAAACCGCUUUCGCCUGUGACGAAGCGUGAGUGACGGUAAUGGGUAAAGAAGCACCGGCUAACUACGUG